UUUAUAUGAGAGUUUGAUCCUGGCUCAGGAUGAACGCUGGCGGCGUGCCUAAUACAUGCAAGUCGAACGAGUUCUGAUUAUUGAAAGGUGCUUGCAUCUUGAUUUGAUUUUGAACGAGUGGCGGACGGGUGAGUAACACGUGGGUAACCUGCCCUUAAGUGGGGGAUAACAUUUGGAAACAGAUGCUAAUACCGCAUAAAUCCAAGAACCGCAUGGUUCUUGGCUGAAAGAUG
rnacentral:rRNA from 1 species